UCCUGUUUAACAAAAACAUGUCUUUUUGUGUAAAAUUUAAAGUCUGGCCUGCCCACUGAAUUUUAAAGGGCCGCAGUAUUUUGACUGUGCAAAGGUAGCAUAAUCAUUUGUUUUUUAAUUGAGAACUAGAAUGAAAGGUUUGAUGAGGUAUAAGCUGUCUCUUUAUAAUAAAAUUAAAAAUUUAGAUUUUAAGUUAAAAUACUUAAAUUUUAAUAAAAGACGAGAAGACCCUAUAGAUCUUUAUAUUGAAAAUUAAUUUAAUAAUUAUAAUAAAGUAAAAAUUAAUUGUUAAAUAUUUAAUUGGGGUGAUUUAAAAAUUUAUAAAACUUUUUAAUUAAAAUAACUUAAAUUGAAGAAUUUUAGAUCCAUAAAUUAUGAUUAAUAGAUUAAGUUACCUUAGGGAUAACAGCGUAAUUUUUUUAGAGAGUUCAUAUCGAUAAGAAAGAUUGCGACCUCGACGGUGAAUUAAAGUUUAUUUUAGGAGUAGAAAGUUAAAAUUCAGUG
rnacentral:rRNA from 1 species